GAUGAACGCUGGCGGCGUGCCUAAUACAUGCAAGUCGAGCGAACGGACGAGAAGCUUGCUUCUCUGAUGUUAGCGGCGGACGGGUGAGUAACACGUGGGUAACCUACCUAUAAGACUGGGAUAACUUCGGGAAACCGGAGCUAAUACCGGAUAAUAUUUUGAACCGCAUGGUUCAAAAGUGAAAGACGGUCUUGCUGUCACUUAUAGAUGGAUCCGCGCUGCAUUAGCUAGUUGGUAAGGUAACGGCUUACCUAGGCAACGAUGCAUAGCCGACCUGAGAGGGUGAUCGGCCACACUGGAACUGAGACACGGUCCAGACUCCUACGGGAGGCAGCAGUAGGGAAUCUUCCGCAAUGGGCGAAAGCCUGACGGAGCAACGCCGCGUGAGUGAUGAAGGUCUUCGGAUCGUAAAACUCUGUUAUUAGGGAAGAACAUAUGUGUAAGUAACUGUGCACAUCUUGACGGUACCUAAUCAGAAAGCCACGGCUAACUACGUGCCAGCAGCCGCGGUAAUACGUAGGUGGCAAGCGUUAUCCGGAAUUAUUGGGCGUAAAGUGCGCGUAGGCGGUUUUUUAAGUCUGAUGUGAAAGCCCACGGCUCAACCGUGGAGGGUCAUUGGAAACUGGAAAACUUGAGUGCAGAAGAGGAAAGUGGAAUUCCAUGUGUAGCGGUGAAAUGCGCAGAGAUAUGGAGGAACACCAGUGGCGAAGGCGACUUUCUGGUCUGUAACUGACGCUGAUGUGCGAAAGCGUGGGGAUCAAACAGGAUUAGAUACCCUGGUAGUCCACGCCGUAAACGAUGAGUGCUAAGUGUUAGGGGGUUUCCGCCCCUUAGUGCUGCAGCUAACGCAUUAAGCACUCCGCCUGGGGAGUACGACCGCAAGGUUGAAACUCAAAGGAAUUGACGGGGACCCGCACAAGGGGUGGAGCAUGUGGUUUAAUUCGAAGCAACGCGAAGAACCUUACCAAAUCUUGACAUCCUUUGACAACUCUAGAGAUAGAGCCUUCCCCUUCGGGGGACAAAGUGACAGGUGGUGCAUGGUUGUCGUCAGCUCGUGUCGUGAGAUGUUGGGUUAAGUCCCGCAACGAGCGCAACCCUUAAGCUUAGUUGCCAUCAUUAAGUUGGGCACUCUAAGUUGACUGCCGGUGACAAACCGGAGGAAGGUGGGGAUGACGUCAAAUCAUCAUGCCCCUUAUGAUUUGGGCUACACACGUGCUACAAUGGACAAUACAAAGGGCAGCGAAACCGCGAGGUCAAGCAAAUCCCAUAAAGUUGUUCUCAGUUCGGAUUGUAGUCUGCAACUCGACUACAUGAAGCUGGAAUCGCUAGUAAUCGUAGAUCAGCAUGCUACGGUGAAUACGUUCCCGGGUCU
rnacentral:rRNA from 1 species